UUCCCCAUACUGACUGUCACAAUAGUGAGAGCACAGUGAGGCCUCUCAGGGCAUUGCCCUCCUUCUGAAACCCUUGUAAGAUGCAUGACAGAAAGACCUGGGAGAGCCAGGAGGCCUCUCCACUCUACAGCAUCACUGAAAUAAAUGCAGCAACAAAUCACCACAGAGCUACAGACCAGCAACGAAGGGAGCUGAGGGCAAUUUGACCAACAUCAUCUGUGUCGGUUCCCCAGAUGUCAAUGAAACGCGUAAUCGGGUCUCCAAGACCACAAGCCUCAGAAGAUCACUGUGGAAGAAACACACUGGGCCAACCCAUCCUGUUGAUAUGACACAAAGUGCAGCCCAGUUUGGUAUUCUUUCCACUCUGAAGAAGUCUCACACCAGGAAAGGAAGAUAUAAACCACCACAGAAACAAACUGCUUUCCUCAUGGAAGAAUGGUAACUUUGGACAACAUUUGGCACUGCAAGUUCAAAGGGCUAUUUCAUCUGCAUUGUAAGUACAGACCCAGAGAUUUUACAGUAUUCCUGUCUCCAUGCUAUUGUUUUCUGUGCCAUUAAUGGCACUUAAAUUAUAGACCUGCUGCAGCCAUGUAGUCAAAACACCACAUCACCCGAUGAGACACUGUAUUAUAAUGUCACUGUGUCUGUGUUUUAGCUGUGCUUUCAUAUACUCCACUUCUCUUCAAUCACCCUUUUUCUCUGCCAAAGAAUAGGUAUAAGAGAUGAGUCUAUCUUUAGCGCCACAAAAAUUUCUUACUCAGGCAGCUGCAACACUUCAUUCAUCACAUAUCCAAGUCUCCUGUUUACAGCAAUAAAAUUUUUAGAUGUACAAAUAGUACGGAGGCG
ensembl:lncRNA